rnacentral:rRNA from 1 species
UACGUAGGGUGCAAGCGUUGUCCGGAAUUAUUGGGCGUAAAGAGCGUGUAGGCGGCCAGGUAGGUCUGCUGUGAAACUCGAGGCUCAACCUCGAGACGUCGGCGGAAACCAUCUGGCUAGAGUCCGGAAGAGGAGAGUGGAAUUCCUGGUGUAGCGGUGAAAUGCGCAGAGUAUACAGGAAGAACACCCCGUGGCGAAGGCGGCGUCUCUGGGACGGUACUGACGCUGAGACGCGAAAGCGUGGGGAG